rnacentral:rRNA from 1 species
UACGUAGGGGGCUAGCGUUGUCCGGAAUCAUUGGGCGUAAAGCGCGUGUAGGCGGCCCGGUAAGUCCGCUGUGAAAGUCGGGGGCUCAACCCUCGAAAGCCGGUGGAUACUGUCGGGCUAGAGUACGGAAGAGGCGAGUGGAAUUCCUGGUGUAGCGGUGAAAUGCGCAGAGUAUCAAGGAGGAACACCAACGGCGAAGGCGGCGCUCUGGGCCGGUACUGACACUGAGACGCGAAAGCGUGGGAGCGAACCGG